GACGGCCCCCUAGUGGUCAGAGGUACCGCGGCCGCACGGGCGACCCUGCUGCGACCUGGAGAUGGGAGUGGGCGUGGGGCGCGGCGGGGCGGGACACCUGCCCCAGGCCAUCCAGAGGACCCCGGCGGGACGCGCGCCCCCGGUGCAGGGGGACCCAGGAAGUGCCGGACACCUGCUCCAGGCCACCUCAGGGAACCACGGAGCAGGUGUUGGCCCUGAUGCAGGGAGCAGGGAAGGUUCCGGACACCUGCCACCUGCGUGGACGCAUACCCUGCAGCAAAGCUCGGAGCCCGAGGUACAAAAUGGGAGCCCAGAAGUCUGGAUUCUUCUCAUCCAUAAGAGGACUGCAGUGCUGGUCCUUCUAGCAGGCCAGGCAAAGAAGGAAAGCUGAUCAUCCUGCAGCUUGUAGGACCCUUGACAGUAAGCCAUUUAAACCAGACUCAUUCCUUGGAUACCAGGACCAAAAUGAUGCAGCUCAAGAGAUCCUGUGAUUUAGAAAGAACUGUUCUGAGACCAAAGAUACCUUGAUCCUUGUUCCUUUGGAAUCAUGUUUGUGUGUGUGUGUGUGGGGGGGUGUUUCAACAUUGUAGUAGAAUAAUACAUAACAUAAAAUUCGUGUUUUAACUGUUUUGAAGAAUUACAGAUCAGUGGCAUUUGGCGCAUCCAUACUGUUGUGCAACCAUGACCACUGUCUGUCUCCAGAACUCUCUCAUUGCCCCACCUGACGUUCCUUUCCCAUACACCUUCCCCAUAUCCUGGGACUCAGUAUUUGGCUCCUAGGUACCUGAUAUGAGUGGAAUGGUAAGUAUUUGUCUCUAUGUGACUGGCCUAUUUCACUGAGCAUCAUGCCCUGAGGCUCGUCCAUGUUGUAACAGAUGUCAGAACGUCCUUCCUUUUAAGCCUGAGGAUACUCGCACGUGCAUUAUGUGUCACCUUGUGUUGAUCUAUACAUCUGUCAGUGGACAUGUAUGUGACUUCACCUUCUCUCUCAAUGUUGGUGAAAAAAAUAUCUGUUCAAAUGCCUGCGUUCCACUCCUUUGGGUAUAUAUACAUCCAGAAAUGGAAUAGCUGGGUCAUAUGGCAAUUCUAAGUUUAAUUUUUUGAGGCACUUCUGCAAUUUUCAGCCUUCAUGCAAAUCAUUUCCUUAAUGUGGGCUUCUAUUUCUUCAGCUGCAAAAUAUGAGGGUAGGGAGAGUGAGAGAGGGCUUCAGAAGGUCCCUAAGGAACUCAUGAACUAGUGACCACCCUGGCCCUGGACAAAAGUGCUGAUCUCCGUAGAAUCUCACUGAGUACAAGAAGAAAAGCUCUUCUUCCCAAGAGGCAUGACCUGACUUCCAUUAGGUGCUGGUCCUGGGAAGCCUGUGGGUGAGGAUGGAGGGAUAGAGAAUGGGU
rnacentral:lncRNA from 1 species